UACGUAGGGGGCAAGCGUUGUCCGGAUUUAUUGGGCGUAAAGAGCGUGUAGGCGGCCAGACAGGUCAGCUGUGAAAACUCGAGGCUCAACCUCGAGACGUCGGUUGAAACCGUCUGGCUAGAGUCCGGAAGAGGAGAGUGGAAUUCCCGGUGUAGCGGUGAAAUGCGCAGAUAUCAGGAGGAACACCAAUGGCGAAGGCAGCUCGCUGGGACGUGACUGACGCUGAGACGCGAAAGCGUGGGGAGCAAACAGG
rnacentral:rRNA from 1 species